UCGUAGUCGAAGUGUCCAACUAUAUUUCGAAAUACUUUUGACUUUUUUUUUUUUUAAUUUUUUUUUUCCUUAACGUGAUCCAUGGUCACUUUCAAAUAAAUUUUUUUUUUUCAACUGGCAUUUUUGCAAGUUGAAAUAAUUAAUUUUUUUUUCUUUAUUUUUUUUUCCAUGUAGUAAAUUACAAAAGUCAAAAGUAUUUUUUUUUUUAAUUAAAAAGUGUUAAUUAUUUAGACAGGUUUUCAAUGGAUUCCAACGACGGAAACUAUCGUUUUCUGAUGUCUUGACUGGAAGGAAGGAUGGAACUGAAACACACUGACCUACCUCAAGGAACUGCUAGUUGUCAUCCUACCAGCUGAUCAUCUGGCAUCGUUCGGCAGUGAAAUAAAGUUAUUUCCCUGUUGAGGUUUAAGUAUAGGAUUUGGAUGAUUUUUUCCCUAUAUCUUUGAUGACGUGUCUAAUCUAGAGUCCAAUGGAAUCUAUUGACAUGACCUGGCCUACCAGGACCAGAAUAAUUUUUUGGACAGUGAUGUUGCUGAACAUUGAGGACAAGGUGUUGCCGAGCCAAGGACACACCGCUGCUUUUAAUUUUUUUUUCUGUUUCAGAUCCAGUCAACGAGAAUAAGGAUAUCCAUAGGUGCCAAGGAAUACCGAGACCAGGAGAAGGAGGACCAGGACCAGAAAGAAGAAUAAUUAUUAAUUGAUCAUUAAGAUUAAUAUUAUUAUUAUUAUUAUUAUUAUUAUUAUUAUUAUUAUUAUUAAUUAUAAAUUUAGUUUAAGAUUAAUUGUAUUUAGUUUUAAAUUAUUAUUUUAUACAGGUGUGAGUGUGAUGAAUGAUAUUAGAAUAAUUUAUAAUUUAAGAAUUUAAUUUAUAUUUUUAUAGAGUGAGAAUGUGUUCGAGUGGCAUGUAUCUUUUGCAUUUUUCGCAUGGUGCUUGCGUGUUUUGCUUUUUUUUUUUUUUGAUUUCUUUUUAUUGCAUGGUUUUGGGUAGUUUGUCUUUUAUUUUAAUUUCCUUUUUUUCCUUUAUCCUUCUAGGUCUUAAUUAUAAGUAUGAAUGAAUGUAAUUUAAUUUACCUAUAAGCAUGAAAUGAAUGGAUUGUAUGUAAAUUUUUAUUGCUUUGUGAUCAUACCCGAAUAUUAUUUAUAAGCGUAUGGAGUGUGUGUGAUAUUAAGUACUGUGUGAUCAGACCUGAAUGUUACUAUUAAGGCUUAAUU